rnacentral:rRNA from 1 species
AAUGAACGCUAGCGGCAGGCCUAACACAUGCAAGUCGAGGGGUAGAUGUCUUCGGACAUUGAGACCGGCGCACGGGUGCGUAACGCGUAUGCAACCUGCCUUCCACAAAGGGAUAGCCCAGAGAAAUUUGGAUUAAUACCUUAUAGCAUUGCGGAAUGGCAUCAUUUCGUAAUUAAAGAUUUAUCGGUGGAAGAUGGGCA